UACGUAGGGUGCGAGCGUUAAUCGGAAUUACUGGGCGUAAAGCGUGCGUAGGCGGUCCGCGAAGUCUGAUGUGAAAGCCCCGGGCUCAACCUGGGAACUGCGCUUGUUACUGGCAAGCUAGAGUGUGGCAGAGGGGGGUGGAAUUCCAGGUGUAGCAGUGAAAUGCGUAGAUAUCUGGAGGAACACCGAUGGCGAAGGCAGCCCCCUGGGCUAACACUGACGCUCAUGCACGAAAGCGUGGGGAGCAAACAGG
rnacentral:rRNA from 1 species